UUUCCGUAGGUGAACCUGCGGAAGGAUCAUUAAAGAAUAUAGUAAGUUAGCGGCCCUCUUCGCCGGCGCUAACAUCUAUACAUACCUAUAAUAACUGUACACUGUAUGGUUGUCUAGACAAGGACAGUGAUUAGAGGGUUUGCCCGUUCUAUGCAUACCUUAAAGUCACAAACGUAGUCUUAUAAUAAUCUUAAAAAACUUUCAACAACGAAUCCCUUGACCCUCGCAUCGAUUAAGAAUGCAGCCGAUCGAAAGCGCACAAGUCCGAACUCCCAUCAC
rnacentral:misc_RNA from 1 species